rnacentral:rRNA from 1 species
CACGUAGGGGACGAGCGUUGUCCGGAUUCAUUGGGCGUAAAGCGCGCGUAGGCGGCUCGGAAAGUCGGUCGUGAAAUGCCGGGGCUCAACCCCGGGACUGCGUCCGAUACUUCCGGGCUGGAGGUAGGUAGGGGAGAUCGGAAUUCCUGGUGUAGCGGUGAAAUGGCGCAGAUAUCAGGAGGAACACCGGUGGCGAAGGCGGAUCUCUGGGCCUUACCUGACGCUGAGGCGCGAAAGCUAGGGGGAGCGAACAGGG